UACGUAGGGGGCAAGCGUUGUCCGGAAUUAUUGGGCGUAAAGAGCGCGUAGGCGGUCCGAUAAGUCGGCUGUGAAAGUCUAGGGCUCAACCCUUGGAUGCCGGUGGAUACUGCAGGGCUAGAGUCCGGAAGAGGCGAGUGGAAUUCCUGGUGUAGCGGUGAAAUGCGCAGAUAUCAGGAGGAACACCGAUGGCGAAGGCAGCUCGCUGGGACGGUACUGACGCUGAGGCGACGAAAGCGUGGGGAGCAAACAGG
rnacentral:rRNA from 1 species